rnacentral:lncRNA from 1 species
AACGAUUAGCCAUUCCGUUCCAAAAGUAAGGAUUAGCUAAUGGUCUCUGAUUUACCCUCCCUAGCCAAAAUCUGCUGCUCCACCCCACCCUCUCCCUCCCAACAUCAACAGCAGUUUUCUUCGAACCAAAUCUCCACCGUCUCAGAUCGCCUGUGAGUAAUCUCAACAGCAGUUGCCAGUGAAAAUUGCCCUUUCUUCAAAAACCCAGCCCUAAACCCUUCUCCUCUUUCAAUACUCCAUUCGAACAGGUUGCGGCGUCUCCCUCCUCUGAGGUAUGGCUCUGUUUCUUUAACUUUAGCAUUGAACGACUCUUUUCAAGUCCAAAAUUAGUCUACUCAGCUUUGAAUUUAGGCCUAUUUUUGCACAGUUACGGUCUUUUUGGGGGUUCUUUGUUCUUUGUUUUUUGUUUUUUGUUUUUUGUUGGUUUGGUUAAAUCAUGUUCUGGUAUUUGGAUUUAAACAAAAAAAAAAAAAGAGAAAGACGAAGGUUUUUGUUAAGCCAAUUGUGAAAAAGUAGUAGCAACAGCAACCGAAUGCAGACCAAACAUUUUUUCUUUGCUAAGGGUUCUUGCUUUUCAAACCAUUUUUUCGCCAUUUGUCUUGUAAUUGUUUUUCUUGUUACAGUUCAGAUUUUAGAUUUUUUGGUUGUUGAGUCUUGGAGGUAGUUGUAUCCAGUAAUGGCUGGCUUGCUUUGAUGCAUUGCUUCUGUAUAUCUUUGUAGAAAACGAAUCUGUAUCUAUUUUUAACACAAAUUUGAUUAGUUCACGCCAAUGGAUUUUUAACGUUAAAUUAGUUAUUGGCGUUAGAAAUUUAGUCUAAGAUGUUAUAUCGAAUCAGUAGCCAUGUAUCGAACAAAAGCCAGAGGUUAGUCAAUUGAAGGUAGCACCUUUAUCUUGUGAGAUAUCCACAGCCCAACAUCUUGCAGAAGCUUGUUACCAGAAGCAUCUUGCUGGUCCACGGACUACAAGCUUUCAGAAAGAAGUUCCUGUCUGGCUCCUUCAGCUAUUAAAUUGUUACCCUGUUCUAUUUAUGUUGGAGUAGCUGAAAUCUGAGGUUGCAUUUGUCAUUAACAAAUAGAAAUCCAAAAGGAGAGGAAAUUGAUAUCAUCCCUCCACUUUUUGCUUGGAAUUGCGUGCUUCAAAUGUUCACUAAUAUGGUUAAAAAUUCAUGUUUUAAAAAUUCUGUCUUCUUGUGAAAGUUUGUAGCAGUUUGUUGAAUCAUGCUUCUUGUUGAUUUAACUUUGUAAAUUCCGUGAACAAGUCUAAACCUUUACUGCUGAUUUCAAUGACAUAGCUGCAGUUGUAAUUCACUGCUGAUUCUUGUGAUCCAGGCAUGCAUGCUCUGUUAGCGGCUUGACUUGCAGUCUGGAAGGAUUAAUUCACUGCUGAUUCUUGUGAUCCACUGCUUCAUUUUUUCUCUCAGUCUCAGCGUUUGGUUUGAGGUAUGAAUCUUGAACUUUUCAUAUCUUUGCCUGCCUUUGCCUUGGAUUGUGGCAUGUUCAUGUGUGUAGUCUUCAACCGGAUUCACCAACUGUAUUAUGUUUGAUAUGUGGUUUGAAACACUGAAAAAUUGUACUGCUAGACAGUGAGAUUUUGUUUGAAAUUUUGACUGUUAUACUUUGUUGUUUCAUCUUGUUUUUUGACAAGUAUAAUAAUUUUUCUGUUAUACUUUGUUGUUUCGGAAAAUCCAUAGCCGUUGUGAUGUGUUGUUAGAAUUAAAUUGUUUGGAAGCAUUGCAUCAUGUUAAUGGUACUCUAAUGAUACAACAACUGAAUUCGUAUGUCAUUCAUGCCAUUGGAGACUUGUUGCAUUGAUAUUGAGAUAUUGGUAUUACACAUAUGCAUUGAGAAUGCGAUAGGAUGGCUAAUUGCUUAACAAAGGCUACAAAAGGAGUCCAUCAUUAGCUUUUACUCUUGUCCUGACCUCUUGAUUUUGCUUUCAUGUAUCUAUUUGUUAUUGGUUAUGUUAUUUUGCAAAAGGGAAUCCACAAAAUUUUUUUAAUAGGCCGAGAUUAAGUUAUAUAUUGUUAUGAGAGUUAAAAUGCAAGUUUACCAUUGUAUUGACAAACAUCUUUAUAGUUUUUAAAAAGACUAAAUCAUAAGUUUAUCAUUUCUAAAAGAGUCAAAUUAUAAUUUUAUCAUGUAUUUAUUUAAAAUUUUAUAAACAUAAAAGUGAUUAAAGCUAAAAUUUUCCAUUUUAUGGGAGAGUAAGGGACUUGUAUACGCCUUUGCCUUCGCCCUUAGUUCUUUUGUUACCUUCUACAAUACAAAUUUUUUUUCAGUUUGGGUAUUUGACGUACUUGAGUAGCUGCUUGAUAUGUUUGGAAG